UACGAAGGGUGCAAGCGUUACUCGGAAUUACUGGGCGUAAAGCGUGCGUAGGUGGUUUGUUAAGUCUGUUGUGAAAGCCCCGGGCUCAACCUGGGAAUGGCAAUGGAUACUGGCAGGCUAGAGUGCGGGUAGAGGGUAGUGGAAUUCCCGGUGUAGCGGUGAAAUGCGUAGAGAUCGGGAGGAACACCAGUGGCGAAGGCGGCUACCUGGACCAGCACUGACACUGAGGCACGAAAGCGUGGGGGAGCAAACAGG
rnacentral:rRNA from 1 species